GACGAACGCUGGCGGCGUGCUUAACACAUGCAAGUCGAGCGGUAAGGCCCUUCGGGGUACACGAGCGGCGAACGGGUGAGUAACACGUGGGUGACCUGCCUCUAGCUCUGGGAUAAGCCUGGGAAACUGGGUCUAAUACCGGAUAUGAUCUUGCCUCGCAUGGGGUGGGGUGGAAAGUUUUUCGGCUGGGGAUGGGCCCGCGGCCUAUCAGCUUGUUGGUGGGGUGAUGGCCUACCAAGGCGA
rnacentral:rRNA from 1 species